rnacentral:rRNA from 1 species
GUCUACAGCCAUGUCACCCUGAACAUACUCCAUCUGGUCUGAUCUUGGAAGCCGAGCAGGGUCGGGCCUGGUUAGUACUUGGAUGAGAGACCACCUAGGAAGACUGGGUGCUGUAGGCA